AGCUUGGUGAGCUUGGUGAGCUUGGUGAGCUUGGUGAGCUUUUCCAACCUGAAUGAUUCUAUGACGGAGCCUCCACGUGGUCACCAGUUUUACCUCAGAAAUGUAUUGAAAGGGUGGUGGCUCAGUACCUGCCCCACUUCAGAUCUUCUACCUGACUGGCUGAAAGUUUCACAAAUCACAGGUGAGACCUGCACAGAGAAGUUCUGCUACAGUUUCAUUUGGAGAUCUAGCAAAAACAGAGGAACUUAGUAGAAGAGGAGCAAAAUAGUUCUUCAUAAGUGUUGUAUUAACAAAUGUGUCAGAGAGAGCUUCUCUUGGCCUGCCGUAAGAAGAUUAUCCAGCAGGUGGAGUUUGACAGGAUGGUGUGCACAGGCCAAGUGGACAAGUGUUCCUAUAGAACUGAUUUUCUGACCAGGCUGCGUCAUGGAAGGGAAAUGUAACUUGAACAAGUACAGCUGUGGUGGAGGAACAUGUGUUCUAAGCCCUAAGACCUGCCUCUUGUAACAAGAUCUAGAACAACAAAGACGAGAGAAGGAAAUUAAGGAAAGAAAAAUGACUCACUACUUGUAUGUUGAAGAUCACAUUCAGAAAUAGUGAUGAGAAAGGCGUUUAUGUCAGGAAAACACAAUGGUUUGAGUGCUCAUUGAAAGUAAAUGCAAGAGCUGCCUUGGUAUUACUAAAAAUAUACUUUGGGAAGGACUCAGAAACAGGGCAUUUGGAAUGAAGAACUCAAACUGCAUUGUAGGCUGAACUAAUGUCUGAGAUUUAAAUGUAUGUGGGAGCUAUAUUAUAUAGUUCUGAAGCUGAAAGUGAUAAGCCUGGAUCUGAUGUGGAAUGUAAAGAAAUGAGAAAACUGGAUGCCAAGAGGUAUUUUCAGCAGCAGUAUUGCCAGUGCACCGAAGAAACCAGAGAGACAAGCAGGAAAAUGGGUUGGCUUUAUAAGAUGUGGCUCGCUGAUUUCUGAAGGCUUGAAAAUAUCUUGCAGAUUCUCAUGUUGACUGGCUACUGGGAACUGGGUGUAGUCCAGAAAGCUGGUGGCAGUGGCUUGGAAAUGCACAGAAGCAUAUAAUCUCCCAAAUCAAGCUUCUAAUGGAAACUGGGUGCUUCAUGGCCAAUGAAUCAGCUGAGGAAAAAUGCUCAGGAAUAAAAGCCCUCGGGAUGAGUACGAAGCAACAAAGAUCUUCAGAGUUACGCAAUUUGUAUCUUCAAAGUAAUGUUCCUAGGGAGAUUUUUAUGCCUUUAGGACAAAUUGUCUGAUGAACCUGCAAUGAAAAGUAGGACUUAGUCCUAGAGAACAAGAUUCCUAGUGGAUCUUUAAAUUCCACAACCGAAGCAUCUUAUGAGGUAAGGAGCAGCACACGAGGUUUUCAGGUAAGACAUUUUCCACAGUAUGAGAAUUAAGAGAAAAUGUGUUUUGAAAAUUCUACCCUCACUUGACAUUCAUUCUGCUAUCCAUUCUCAUGCACUGUCUUUAGGACUAUAUAUUCUAUGCCGUGUAACUGGACAGUGAUAAACGGCUCAACAAAGUUAAAAAUUAAUGAAGAAAGGGCAAUGAGAUGUUGUACUUUUAUAAUGACUUAUCUGGCUCGUACAAAUGAGAUUGUGUAUGAAAUAUAAUGUUAUCAAUGUAAUCUAUGUUACUUUGGACAUUUCCAUACUUAUGAUUCAUUAACAGUAACUGUUUUGCUAUGUAGCUUUCUGUACUGGUUAUGUUGCUUGGCAACAUUAAGUCCAAGAUAAUGAUGUCUUACUGCCUGUGAUUAAAUAAUGCUUUUUCCCCAUAUUGUUUAUGAUAUAUCUAGCUUAUUUAUUUUCUUGUUUGCAAACUCUGUUCCUUAUUUUUCAUGCCAAAUAUAGCAAGGUAUGUACACAUUCCUUGGAUAAUUCUAUACUUAAAAUUCACCGCAUGUAGUCCCCUACUGAAGUGAAUGCAAAUAGCAAAAUAGUAUGAUGGAAAAAUAAAACCAGUGCACAAUAAUGCAAAGAACAAAAAAUGGAGAGGCAGUCUGUAGAACUACCGCUGAUCCUGCUGAAUAAAUCCUUAAAGCCUUUUCAGCUGAAGUGCGUUGCUAAUAGCCGUGGAUAAUGCCCUGGCUCUGUGGUUUAAUUCUCCUCUUAAAUAAAUAAAUAGGAAGCUAUGGGGCUUGCCCAUAUGCAGUGCUAAACUUUGGAACUUGACCAAAAAAAGUGAAGUACUAUACGCUAAAGGGCAGUAAAUGUCUUCUGAUGCCAUUAGUAGAUAGGUCAAUGCAGUUUAAUAGUAUUUACAGUAGUACAUUGGACCUCAAUGUUAACAGUAUUCUGAACUAAUACCUGAAGCAUAGCAACAUUAAAAUUGAUAUCGGGUGACUAUUGAACAUAUUUUAAAUGAUUCUGUUAAUUCCCACAGAGCUUAUCACCAUGGUGACAGUGACAGAAAUUGAACGAACAGGAAAAAAAUUCAGAAUUGAUCCAUCCUAAGUGAGAUUCCAAUGGGAUUUAGAGUCAUGCUUUAAAAAUGGGAGCCAAAUUUAAGAGUUCAGCUGGUGGUAUCUUCUCUUAUCUUCUCCAAGGAGGGGUUCUGUCUGCAGGUUUGGUCUCUGCAUCAUACAUUGCUUUCCAGAUGGCAUCACCUAGGAAGUGAUGGUUUUGGAACAGAGGCCUAGAUAGUAAGCCGUGUGCUUCCAAUAUACUGGCAUUAAAUCAAUAAUUCUUCAUGGUUUAGACAUUUAUAACUGAAGUGUUAACACUGGUAUGGAUGCAGUAUGAGUGGAAAUGUGCAUGUGACAGCACCAGAAAUUAUAGCCAAGUAAAUGUUAAAAGAGUGUUGUACUGAACACUCAGCAUGCUGCUCCCAGGGCUCUUCACCCAGUUGUAACGAUGAGGAAUACGUUGUUAAGUCCACAUGAGAACACCUGCCCUCUACAAGACUCUGCAGCACUGAGGAAGACCCAGAAGGGUGGCAGAAAGUUGCAGCAUGUCAUGCAUACCAAUCCUUUGUGGUUUUCCAAUAGGAGAACGCGCCCUUCAAACCAACAAGGAAAAUAAUGGAGAACGUGCGGAAAGCUUGGCUACGACGCAUGGAGCUACUGGAGUCAGAAACAAAGCACUGGCUGCCAAAAACAGGAAGGAUAUUGCAGUCUCGGUAAGCAGGCUUCUGCUUCUCCUUAAGAGGAAUAAAGACCGAAUAAGACUGUUUCUCAAAGACUAAAACCAGGCCCCACAUUUUCCCUAGAUCUCUUUUUGCUUCUGAUGGACCUGUUGAAGCUCAUUGUCUUGUACUUCACAUCCCUCCACAGAUUCAACUCCAGAUGGGCCUCUGUUUAAAUGUAUCAGAGUAGCACACUUGCUUAUAUUUAAACCACGCAAAUGUUUUGUCCAAGCUACCACGUUUCUAUCAUUUGCAGACCCAGAACCGAUGAGCUGCUCUCCGCAAGUAAGUAAAUCUGAUAGAACUUUUCCGUAUUUAACAUCCGUCAAACUUUAAAUACAUCUAGUGCGGGUGUUUUUUGCUUGGUAGAGUCUUGAAAUGCUCCCUCUCUACCUGAGUUCAGAGCCCAAGUGGAGCAGUCCGUCUGUGUCCUGGGGAAGCUGAGCCACUGUGGAGGUUCGUGACCCUGUUUGCUUGCAGCAAGCCAGGCUUCCAGCCCAGCAGACUGUGGUUAAUGUUUGCAGAUGGAGAGGAUUUUGCUGCUGACUGCUCGAUUAAACACGUGACGUAAAAUAUCCUCGCUUCCGAGCAAAAGUUUGUUUUGGACCAGGAUACAUUUGGCAAUUAUUAAUUUUACCAAACAAUGUGUCAAAAUAGCAUAUUAAUGGUGAAGAUCACUGUUGUUAUCAGCUGUUUUCUUCUCCUUCAAACAGCAUCGACUUCUCAGUACUGUCUAAAGUCCUGACCUAAAGCUGGAGAGGUGUUACUUGAGUCACCACGUGGCUGUGAAUUAAAAUUAGGCAGGGAGUUUUUUGUGGACAUAAUAACUGCAGUCUAGUCUAUUUCCAUCAAGUUAGAUCAGUCCUUGCAAGGGUGACAGCUGUGGCCUGAAAGCUGUUUUCUUAAGGAUGGUAGUUCCAUUUUAUGGUAAUGUUUUGGAGGAAUCCUUCAUUAGGUAUCCUUAACAGUCUUACAUUCUCGAUCAAAGCACACGAAAGCCCACAGAAAUUCUCUCAAACCUUUAUUUCAUUUAGUGCAAGCGCCACGGGCAUCACAAUCACUUAAACAUUCUUUCUAAAUGUCUGUCAGAUUGCAUUCUGUAUUGGUCUGACCCAACUUCCCCACAUCUGAAAGGUCGUGUCAGGCUUCAUUCACUGUAUGUCAGCAUAGCCUCUGCUGACAGCCCGCGGCUAUAUGUGGAUCUCGUGAGGGUGGCUACAUGCCUUGGUUUAUUGUUGCUGGAAUUUGACCGAUAAGAUUAAACCUUGCCUCCUUUUCAGCCUGCAGAGGCAGUUCUUAAGCCAAUCAACUCAAACAUUGUUCUUCUCCAAUGCUUCUUCCUCACGUUUCAGAGUAGUACUGAAAUAUUUGUGAUUUCUGAAAGGUUUGCUGUUUUUCCUUAUUUAAAAACAAUACUGUCUCUGGCUACUGAUAUAAAUCUUGUUAAUGCCCCUCAUUAUCGCUUCCCAUUUGGAGCUGUUCUUGAUUUGCUUUUCCUUUUGGAAGCGGUCUCUUUAUAAACACCUUUUAUAGAAAGGGGAAGUCUUGUAAUUUUUUUUGAAAAAAUCUAAUUUCAUUUCUCAUUAUCACUUCAUCUGACUCCGGAGCUCAUCUUGAAUUCAAGUAGUUCUUUAUCCCAUCUUAGUUUUCCUUUUCAAGAUAUUACUUUUACAAUUGGAAUCUGACAUCCCUUUUGAAACGGCACUUAUAACUGUAGGUGGUAUUCAACCAUCACGAAAGGCAGCUGGCUCUUUACGUGCAGCGAUUACCCUUGGGAAUAAAGGCUUCUCUCCACUCUUACUCAGAUGCAGGAAUAUACUGGGAAAACAUAACUGGACUCUUGCAUCAGACCAGCUUUGACAGUUUUAUGCAGUUCACUUAUAUUUGGCUACUGUACAAGGAAAAGAAACUGGAUGCUUUAAUGUGAACUUUACUAUCAUAAAAAUAUCACUGCUGAAUCGCUGCAGUAUUUCAUUGGAACAGCAUCAUUUGAAACUGCAUGUAGAAGGUGAUGGGCAAUUGAACAUAGAAAGAAAGGUAGAGACACAUCUUGUUUGAGUGUGGAUGAUAUGUAUGUAAAAGUUUGCUGGCAGUUACAUCCAUAAACAAAUGCUUUGGCAAGGUCUGCUGUUACUGGUUCGAAGGAAAGAAAAGAAUUCUGAAAGUCUCACUACAACCCCCUGAAAGGAGGCUGUGUGAGGCGGGGUCGGCCUCUGCUGGCAGGGAACGGCCAUAGGACGAGAGGGGAUGGCCUCACGUUGUGCCAGGGGAGGUUCGGGUUGGCUGCUAGGAACAAUUCCUUCUCCAGAAGUGAUUCUGCACUGACACAGCUGCCCAGGGAGCACUGGCGUCACCUGCAGGAGUCCCAGAUGUGGCACUGAGGGAUGUGGGCAGUGGGCACAGUGGGCUGGGGUUGGACUGGGUGAUCUUGGAAGUCUUUUCCAACCUUAGUGAUUCUAUAAUCAAGUAAAGGCAGUUGUACCAACAAAAAUAAUUUGAUAUUGGCAUUAUUGUGCUUAUGUGGGAGAAACAAUAGAGAAUUAGCAUAAAAAAGCCCUGAGAAUAAGAUUUACUGGUGUUUCUAAAUCAGAACUUUUUUUUUUUUUUUUUUUAAGUGGGGAUUUAAACUGAUUUUUCACAAGAUAACUACUGCUGAGUUUGCUGUUUUCUGGGUUUUUGUUUCUGUCCAUGAUUUGUCUUCUGCUGGCCUUGAAAUCUAGUUUCUGAAAUUAUCUCUUAUCAAAUUCUCUUAUCUUGGUGUUAUUACUAUGAUUUGUUAUUUCCAGCUUGGCAGUCCUGCUUAAGAGCAUACACCAUUUGCAUUCAGUUAAGCUAUUAUUUGCACUAAGUUCAAGUGCAGCAGCUUUUCUCUUUUCCCUGGAACACUCUUCACAUUUUAAACACGUAAUCAUUCUAGAUCACCUAUUCCAUAGCUUGUGUAACUCUACAAAAAUCAAAUUUGCUGUAGGCAGUAAACCAGCCUAGAGCUGAAAUACUGAUUGUGACCCUUUGGAAAGAUGUAAAGAGUUUAUCAGAAAAAGCGUUGUGUCCUUUUGACAAUGUCACAAUUAAUUAUCCUCAUCCCAUUGUAUAUCUAGCAUGUAUAUCACUAUCAGUUGGCCAAGGCAAGCAGAAAUAUGUUGUUCUUCUGUAUUUCACAUAUAAACUAUUUUAUGCUUAGGCAGGUGUUGUUAUUAAAGAGUGGGUGGAAUUGUGAAGACUUACCACAAAACACUACUAAGGUCAUACAUUUCUUAGCCCACCAUUAAUCUGAAAUUUUUACACCUUAACCGUUACGCUUCAUAUCUUCUGAUGUCUUAGGAUCUGUGUUUAAUAAUAAUAAUAAUAAUAAUAAUAAAACAACCGGAUGAGAAUAUAUCUACAGUAAAUUAUAAUACAUCUACAGUAACUUACAGCUGAUGUUGUAGUUGUUUAUUGUGAACUUUACCUGCUGCAUCUAGAUAUAUGGCUCAGUGUUGGGGGAGUGAUACAGAGCCGUUCUGUCAGCUCUACUUUAACCUCAUUACUCCUGUUUUUUCCCUGAGGCUAUUUCUACCCCAUUUUGUACAACUAGAGCAAUGCGAGGAGACCGGAGUUUUGCUAGGAGUUGAGUCAAAGGCGUGGACUACAAGUUUACCUCCUCUUUUGGUGUCUAAAUAGCUGGCUUUCCUUGUCAGAAGAAACAUUUGGUUAUUAAAGCCUGAGAAGGUAUGCUCUAGGUGUUUCUUUCAUGUUUUUAAAUCUGUCAUGAUCAAACAAUAUUUUCAUUGUAAUGUUGUUAUUCGAUUUUAAGAUUGAAGGAAUACAUACAGGAAAUGGAUUAACAUGGUAUUUCUGUUUACUACACUAUUUGUUAUCCAGGAAAAAACUGUUUCUAAAUGUCACUUAAGUGACUUCCAAAGAACUAAACUGUUUACUACACACUUGAUUUCAGAUUGAUGUUAAACUGGUCAUAAUAUCUUGUUUAUUUCCCCACAUGUAAAGCAAAAUAUGUUCUCUCUAAAAUCCACACAAAUCUCUGGCCGGAUGUUAGAAAUGAAAAGCUUAUGGAGAACAGUCUAUGGUAAUUCCCUUCAUAGAUAAGAACCUUCUUAGACACGGCUUCCUAUUUAAAAGAACAUUAAAAUGCAACUGGAUUUAAGUGUAAAAUGAGGCAAUAUUUCUAAAACUCACUGCUAGAAUAAUUACAUGUGAAAGCAGAUAUUUGAUGAGCACUCUUUACAUACACCGCAGCGAUAGCUUAACACUUGAAACUGAGCACAUUUAGUAAGUAUUAUCUUCACAAAUCACAUCUUUGGGAUAUUGAUUUGGAUACUAAAAAUGAACAGAUCUGAAAUGAAUGACCACUUGCGGUCCUGCAUUCUGGCACAACUCUAGCUGCAUUUGAUGCAUUUCCAUUUCCAGUUGGUUACUAGUUUAGGAACCUGGGCAGAUUUAUCACUCUUGGAAGUACAUUUCGGCUUCUUGCCUCAUCAGCAGCAAGAUAUGAGACACUGACAUAUGCUGUUUUAAAUAACAGCUGCUUAUUGCUGUUCAAAUUUUUCCCAGUAAUGGCGAUACAUUUUACUGAAAUAAUGAUGCUACUGUUAUCUCAUAAUUUUAGAAAUUUUGUUCAAAUUUUGUUCAAAAGUGCAGUUAUCAACCACUGUGUGAGUGAACGCUGCUUUUAAGAGUUGGGACUCAAACAUGAGCUUCCCCCUUGUUCUACCCCUUUCAGAUGCUCUGCAUUCACUGGUUGCCUAUGUGUGGGUGCCUGGCUACCAGGCUGACGGACAGAAGAUGAGCCAUGUUUGUGGCACAACUGCUUUCUUUCUGUGGCCUUUUUUCCACUUGGAAAAGUUGCCCUCUGGCAAGCUCUUUAAGCAUUCCUACAGGCAAAUACAAACCUCACUGCUUGCCAAAGGAUGCCCCUCUCUGGGAAACCCAUGAUUCAUUCACUGCCUGACCCUUACCUUGUGCUCCACUACACCAACGUGAGUGAGGCCUGUUCCUUCCCACCCAACAUCAACUCAGGGGACAAUUAAACCAUGUUGAGGUCCUGCUGGCCUCCACAGCAUUGCUUUGGGUAGGUUCUGAUACCACCACAGCCUGCCUUCUGCCUCCUGAGCCUCCUUACUGGAGGCUCCAGUAAGAGCUCCUAUCCAGGCAGGCUCUUACUGCCCAUCUCCAAAGGUCCCUCUACGCAGUGAGUGCAUGGAGCAUGGAGCUCUGCCAUCCAAGAACUGAGUGGAUGCAGUCUGUCAGUAAACACGAGCAGCAAUGAAGUAUUUAAGAUAACUUUACAGAUUUAUCAGCAGAUAGAUCACAUCCACGUUGUAACAAUGAUGGGACAGGGUUUGUGACUGUGAUGGAGGCACUAAACCUCUGUCCUGAUAACUUGCACUGUGAGAUGCAUUACCUUGUUUUGAAGCAUUAUUUCUCUGUGGUUUUCAAAAAAAUGUUUGCUAAAAAUAAAGCUAACAGUAAGGGUGCAUUUUGUUCUAAAACUGUUUUGUUUCUAUUCAAACAACAGAGUGUAUUUGGAAGACAAAUUUUCUUAAAUUGCUAACUAAUAACGUAAUUCUUUUUCUUUAGAGAUAAUUCUAACACCUUAAUAACCCUGUAGGAUACUUAUUAAAGUACAAGAGAUUAAAUUCACAGUACAGGCCUCUUCUUAAAAUGACUUCCAGGAAGGCAUCACUGUAGGAGAAAAAGAUUAAAUUCAUUUUCCAGCCUGUAACAAAAGGCAGAAUUCAGGUGCAUAGCUGUAAGCACCUCCCUGAAUACCCAUAAAUUAAAUAGUGUUUUUCCAGCCAGUCAUCAGUGCCCAAGACUGUUACGCAUUAGUUGGUGGAAAGUCUGCCUUUUCAACUGGUGGGUGACUGGGAGUCUUGGCCAUAUACCAGCUUCAAUGCUUCUUGCAUACGAGUGCUGUGGAUUUAUGAUAGAGAGUAGCAGGACCUUGGUCAGGAUUGUGUAGGGGAUCCGUGGAACGGGAUACACAGCGUGAAGAGCUUUUGCAUCAAUGUACAGCUAGGCACUGGGACAGGUUGCCCAGAGAUGUGGUUGAUGCCCCGUCCCUGGAGAAUUCUGGGAUUUGUGAUCUAAAUAUUCCACUUUCUAUAUCAUAUUCUAUAGCGUGAAUGACAUGUAAGAUGAUAGGCAGUACCACGAAAGCACAAAAUGCAAUUGAGGAGGAGGACAUUCUCAUUAGCAGCAUUCAGGCUGGGUAAUCCCACGGAAUUCGUACUCCCAAGUUGCAAACUCAUUUUUGCAAGUGAUGUAGCAAUUAAAUGGAAACAGCACACACAAACGGUUGCGAUAUACAGUUGACCAAAGGUAAAGCUGUUAUGUAUACACAUAUAUUUUUUUUCUCAUGGGAAAUGAGUAAUUUAGAACGAUUUAGCUGAGAGCAAAUUGUCAAAGUACCCAACUAGAAAAAGCCACGAGCACCCCAGUGUGAGCUCAGUGCCAUCCUGUUUUUGGCAGGAACUUGGAUCAGAGAACCCUCAUGGGCCCUCCUGCCACAGGGAGGCUCUGAUUCCUUGGUUCUGUACAAGUUGUAACUCCAUAUGUGUGCCAAGCGCCAUCUCACUAAUAUUAAUUAGCGCCUGCACUUCUGUAACUGAAGUGUGCCUUGGCAAGAAGUUUGCCUCCAAUCUACAAAAGCUGUGCAGAAUGGAUUAAUUUAAAAUAACAGAGUAAAAGAAAACAACAGUGAGGAUACCAUUGAAUAGAUGGCAUUGUUUGGGGGGAGAAUAAAGAAAGAAUUGGAAAAGCAAGCAGUUUAAAAAAUAAUGUAGUUAUUUCCUGUUUCAGGUCACUUCAUAUUAGCUUUGCUCUAUAUAUAAUUUUAAAAUUUUGACCUGCCUUUCCAAUUCGUUUAUCAUGUAUCUACUCUCUGUGCUCAUUCUUUCAACUCACAACCAUAUCUCUAAGUUUUGUUCUGUUUUGUUUUUCCUGUCUGUCUGCAAAGAUGCUGUAAAAGAAAAACCAGAUGAAAUGGAAGAAUAAUGAACGUGGAUGUUCCCUCUGGUGAGAUCCAGAAUUCCUCAGUGGAGAAUAUGUGACCUUCUUUUAUUUUUGACACUUGAAAGCUUUCUUUAAUAAUAUCAUUUCAGCCUAAUUCUAUACAGCAACCAUGUUAGAUGUCUUUUGAAAGUACUUCCAUCUUUUAUUGUUUUUAGAAACCAAUUAAUUUGCAGCCCUACUAGUCCCAGUUGCUCAGCUGGAUACUGGUGAUUUGGCAUAGCCUGUUGUCGUGAGUCACCCAUUUAUUUCCCCUUGCAGUCAGAGCAGAUUGAGCACAGAUGUAGAUGUGUGCAACAUCAAUGGAAGAUUCAACACAGCGAAAUGCAUCCUUUUACCUCUUCUUAUGGUUACUCCACGUGACCCAUGCUUUAACAACUAGUACUGCAGAUGAAUACCUUGCUUUCUUCUGCUAGAUCUGAUUGCAUUAUUUAUUUUCUGUCCUUCCGAAGCCAUUGGAUGAUGCAGCUGUCUUGACUGUAAGAUGGUGGUGCACCUCCAGCGGUGGCCAAGGUCGCAAUGGUCACGCAUUACGUCAGUAUUGAAGAUAACCGCAUUACUUUCAUGUACUUUUCCUUGGAGCUCAUGGGUAAGCUCUGCUUUUUCUUUUUCUGUAUUGAGGUCACUUUGACUGUUGCAAUCUAUUUAUGUUUUCAAUUUCCAUUUUUCACUGAGUGCAUUGUAGGCUGAUCAGGAAUUCCACAUUUUCAAGGGGCGUACUGAAAAGCGAUUUCCUGCCUGAAAGUUUUCAUUGCGUAUUUUCUGAAAUACAUCUCAUUUCUUUCUGAUACAGAAUUAUUCAGACCAAGUAGUUCUGUUUCUGGCAGUCGUGAGUAGAGACCUGGAAAUGCUCAUGCAAGCACCUCCACCACAAAGUUCAUAUCAAAAACUCCAAAAAGCUCCUUCUCUGUUGUCUUUGCAUACAUUAACUUUUAUCAUAGGGUAUGAUUUUUGUAAACAUUAAUAUGAGGGCUGCUCUGAAAGUAUUGCCUCCUAUUUUAUGAGGUUGGCCCACAACAUCAGAGGCCGAUGUUGGUGGCCGUGUUACAGAUGGCAGCAGACAUGGAAGUGCAUAUGGAGCAAAGGUGUGACGCUGAAGUCCUCCAUGUGGAAAGAAUGACACUUAUUGAAUGUUGAUGGAGUGCAAACAGUGGAUGUGAGCACAGUGAGGGGUGGGUGGUGUGUUUCAGCAGUAGCAACAGCAACAGCAGGUCACCUCCGCUGCUGCAGAGUUUUCCUCUGCAAAAUGUAUUAAAAUCAGAAAGCUGUGAGAAACAUGAAUAUUUCGCCUUUCAUCUUUCUCUCCAAUCACCCCGCAGGACAAAGGAGCCUGCAGUUUCUUGCCUCCUUGUUAGCUCAUUUGCUCAAGGCAACAAAGCAGGGAAAUUACAGGCAGCACUUCAUCAAAUGCUUGUCAUCAGUUCACUCCCUCUCUACCUGUCACGAGGUGUAGUUUUAUUAACAGAAACUUGACCCAGGUAUGCUAGUAGCUCGAAAGCUCAAAAGGUGGGGUACAACUCUCCAAUAAAAGAUGAGUGAUGUGCAUUUUAUGUUUUGAAUGCAUGGUGGCAUAUCUGAAAGUGAACGUGCUUAUAGAAAGGCAACAUUUUGUUGAAUAUUGUGGAACUCAGAAGGGUUUUGCUAUGUGAUGUGAAUGAACAGGAGAAAAGACUUCAUGGUUAAUGUACAUGGGCUGUACGUCUGCAUUAGAAUUUCCUGCUGUGGAACUUGUGUUGGCACAGGAUUUAAUAAAAAUCAACAAGACUCAGCCAACAGGGCUUACUACACAAACAAGCUCUGAGAAGUGAAAAUAAUAACUACUGAGAUACAUUUUUUCAAAUUAAAUAUGAAAUAUUCAUAAACUCAUUUUAUAUGUUUAUACUUACUCUAUUAUGUUAUUGGCAUGGUAAAUUACUUUUGUUUACUGGCUACUCAAAUCAUACAUUUCCAAAUGCGAAAAGUUGUGUUUCAUUUGUUAAAAUGGUUAGAACCAGAGGAAAUAAUCUCAAUUUAAUCUCACAUUCUAAAUAAUGUUAUCAAGGAAUUGAAAUCGUAUAAUGAGGUUCAGAAUCUAAUCCACAUCACCCACAUUACACAGUCUUUGAAAUCAGCAUACUGACUGUACAAGUCAUUGUGUAGUUCACAGGCAGAAUUUAAACUGUUUUACAGGGCAGCAGCUCCGAAUUGCUUAUUUUGGCCAGGAUGGCUGAUGGUGACUUUAAUGCUGUGUGCAGGUGGUGAAUGUUCCAACAGCGUGCACUGAAGUUCCAGCUCUUCUUUGGAACAGCAGGGAAAGCACAGACUGAGAUAGCUGGUAAUUGUCCGAUGAUUUCACUCCACCUGGAGGAUUUGUGAUUGUUGGAAGAUUUAAGGCCUCUGGAAUCAACAAGUAUAAGAAGUGAAUGCUGAUCAUGCUCACACCAAAGGCGGUGACAUGAUUUCUUCUUGCUUCGGUGGGUCCAAUUAUACCAAGAGCUACUGAGGUACAUACUUUCUGUAUUUCCCAAAAUGAUGGCUGUUUUAGCUGUUUUUACAAAUGAAAAUGAAGAAUGCAUGCAAAUGUCCCGGAUGAGAAAAGAGUUUUCUCUGUCUUCCCUUCUGGUCCAAUAAACAUUGAUUUACAAAAUGUGGAACAGAUCCCAGAGGACUCUAGAAUAUUCAGUAGCUUGGUAAUGUGGCAAUGAUGCAGGAUAUGGGUUCAAGUAUCUGCUCUGCAUCAUAGAAACACAAACACACGUGACUUCAGCUAUGAUCCCUUUGAUUCCUCUUCAUCAGCUGGUUUCUCAUUUUACCAAGAUGAGAAAACUGUGUGUGGGCUACCAGAGAAUAUCAGCUGGCCAAAACAAAGACAUUGAGUAAUCACAGAGGAUAGCAGUGUACCCUUGAGAGCCGACCUAAUCUGAACAUUAAAACGUGCUUUGUAAAGAGGAGUUUUAUUCUAACUUGAGCUGGUGAGAAGGACAGCUCUGAGUAUUCUGUUCCACCAGUGGGUGUGGUGAGACUAUGGAUUUUGCUGUCAGGAAUUGCACCAUGACUGCAGAACAAGAGCACAGAUGCUGUGUUUGCUCCUCAGAAACCAGGACUUGGUACAAAGGCGGGCAUUCCUGUGCACAGGAAAAAGAGGCACUUUUCGCUGUUGUGUUUGUUUCACAGCGUUGUCACAGAGUCUCUCCCUCUGUCAGGAGCGGCUUUAUUUCACCAGAAGACCAACGAGCUCCCUCCUGACACAGCCUGAUACACAGCGCCCCGCAACACUGAGAAAAGGACCAGACUUUUCCUCUGCCAGAUGCAAAACUUUUACAGGAUAACCCACUCAUUGCUCAUGUUUUGCCUUAACACUGAGACCUGCUACCUGCACAAAUCCAUUGAGCUGCGAUUCCCAAGAGCACAUCUCCGGGCUCUCUGUGCCGUGGGUGAUGCUGCCCCUUUCACUUCUAAGCUGAGGCAGUUCUGUGCAUCGUGUGUAACACAUUGUCCUGCAGUACCUCACCACGCUUUCAUACUCUUCCACAGCAUCAUUUAUUGCCGUCUGAUCACUUGAUUAUUAUUAUU